rnacentral:rRNA from 1 species
AGGGCAAGUCUGGUGCCAGCAGCCGCGGUAAUUCCAGCUCCAAUAGCGUAUAUUAAAGUUGUUGCAGUUAAAAAGCUCGUAGUUGAAUUUCGGGGUCAGCAGGUUGGUCGUGCCAAUGGUAUGCACUGGCCUUGCUGAUUCCUCCCUCUUGAUGAGCCGUAAUGCCAUUAAUUUGGUGUUGUGGGGAAUCAGGACUGUUACUUUGAAAAAAUUAGAGUGUUUAAAGCAGGCAAGCGCUUGAAUACAUUAGCAUGGAAUAAUGAAAUAGGACGUUCGAUCCCAUUUUGUUGGUUUCUAGGAUUGACGUAAUGAUUAAUAGGGAUAGUUGGGGGCAUUAGUAUUCAAUUGUCAGAGGUGAAAUUCUUGGAUUUAUUGAAGACUAACUACUGCGAAAGCAUUUGCCAAGGAUGUUUUCAUUAAUCAAGAACGAAAGUUAGGGGAUCGAAGACGAUCAGAUACCGUCGUAGUCUUAACCAUAAACUAUGCCGACUAGGGAUCGGAUGAUGUUAAUUUUUUAAUGACUCAUUCGGCGCCUUACGGGAA